AGCCUCUGGCUAUAGGAAAUUGUUAGUGGCAGACGGGUGAGUAAUGCGUAGGAAUCUACCUAGUAGUACGGAAUAGCCAUUAGAAAUGGUGGGUAAUACUGUAUAAUCCCCGAGGGGGAAAGAUUUAUCGCUAUUAGAUGAGCCUACGUUAGAUUAGCUAGUUGGUGAGGUAAUGGCUUACCAAGGCUAUGAUCUAUAGCUGGUCUGAGAGGACGAUCAGCCACACUGGAACUGAGAUACGGUCCAGACUCCUACGGGAGGCAGCAGUGGGGAAUAUUGGACAAUGGGCGAAAGCCUGAUCCAGCUAUGCCGCGUGAGUGAAGAAGGC
rnacentral:rRNA from 1 species